rnacentral:rRNA from 1 species
AUUGAACGCUGGCGGCAGGCCUAACACAUGCAAGUCGAGCGGAUGAAGGGAGCUUGCUCCUGGAUUCAGCGGCGGACGGGUGAGUAAUGCCUAGGAAUCUGCCUGGUAGUGGGGGAUAACGUCCGGAAACGGGCGCUAAUACCGCAUACGUCCUGAGGGAGAAAGUGGGGGAUCUUCGGACCUCACGCUAUCAGAUGAGCCUAGGUCGGAUUAGCUAGUUGGUGGGGUAAAGGCCUACCAAGGCGACGAUCCGUAACUGGUCUGAGAGGAUGAUCAGUCACACUGGAACUGAGACACGGUCCAGACUCCUACGGUAGGCAGCAGUGGGGAAUAUUGGACGAUGGGCGAAAGCCUGAUCCAGCCAUGCCGCGUGUGUGAAGAAGGUCUUCGGAUUGUAAAGCACUUUAAGUUGGGAGGAAGGGCAGUAAGUUAAUACCUUGCUGUUUUGACGGUACCAACAGAAUAAGCACCGGCUAACUUCGUG